UGCUGUAAGCACGACUUUUCUUUCAACUCUAGCAACAUACAACCUGAAACCUAUUUUGUUGUCCCAUGUUAAAAUUUGCAGAAUUUAUGAGAAAAAGGACUGACUAACAUUCUCUCUGAAGCACAUAGAGGACUGGAUUAACAUUAGUAGGAGCAAGCACAACUUAACUGUGUUCAUGCUUUUAAGCACACAAUAUUAGGAUUAAACUACUACCACACAAGUAAUAGAGUGCAUAUACAUUUAGAAAAGUCAAGAUCUUGAGGUUAUUUUCUAUCACUGCUUAUGCAGAAUGAAACUGAAAAUAGAAUUUCCAACACCAAUUUGAGUAACUGACGCUAUUUCUGUUUUGUCCUACAGGCUUUCAGCCCCAAGUAAGAAGCAGGAGCACCAUUUGUUGGCAUUGAUGUGUUGGAGUGACACUCUGAAGAUCUGAAGAAAGAAAUUUUAGAAAUUGUUUUCCAACUUAAUGUUGUAUCACUACACUUAAGUUACUUCUGUGUGUAUCUUCUGUAGAAAAAAAUUAAGCAGUGUACAAAUAUCUUUGGGAUCUCCUAAGUCCUAACAGCAGCAAGAUAUACUAUCACUAGGCUGCACCCAUGUAAUGAUUCAAGAUUUUGAAUGCAUUUCUACUCAUAGAUAAAGAGUAGAUAUUUAAUAUUGAGUACACAACUGGUAAUUUCCUCCUCUCUUUGAAAGGCAAAAACAGGAUAUCGAAAAAAGAAGACAUGUUGCGGAGCUGCUCAAGCCUAAGGAACAAAGCUAUUUAGCAAUGCUGACACAGAACUAAUCUUAGGACAUUUCAUGUCUUCACAAAAUUUUCUGGUUAGGUAAUGAUGCUUGCAAUUUGAACAUGAUAAACACCAAACUGGAUUUCUCAGAACGAACAGACCACUGCCAUGUCAUUCCAAACAAAUACCCCAUGCUUACAUUAACUAUAACAAAGUCACAGGUAGUGAACACAUCCCAAACCAAAUUUGUUGGCAUGUAGAAAGCCCAUAUAAAUCUAACAACCAUCUAAUUGUCCUGGGAACCAUAGCCCGGUUGAGUUUCUAAUAUGUCUGUGUGGAACAUACAUGUAAUACAUCUUAUCUGUCCGCACAAAAUCACUCGAAACAUAUGCAUCUUGAAAAUAACAAAACACCUUCUAUUCUAUACUAUUGCUGCUUCCAGUAUUAAUAAUAACAAAAUAACAUCAGCAACAACAAAUGACAAAUUCAGCCAUCUUCAAGAUUAAAAUUUGACAUGUCGACUGUAUAUAAUAGUUUCAUCAACGAUUCUGGGUACAAAAUUAGAGACUUUCCACAUUAAAUAUCAUACCUUUUUAGCAAUCAAAUGACGCUUUCAAUUAAUUAAACAAAAUUGAAGAAAAAAAGUUAUAGUUUCUUGUUUUUGAUAAAGUCUGCUAAGCUGAUUGGUUAGUAGCUAAUUUUAUUUAUACUACUAAAAUAAAAGUAUUUACAAAUGAAAGGAAUAAGAACUUGCAAGCAGCUUGGACUCAAGAGAGCCUUUUAAAGUCAUAAGAGAACCUGAAAGUGUCGGCCAUUUCCUUCUCCAUUGUAAAGCUGCAAAGAGACAUUUGGGAUAUGUUUUUGUGCAUUUUUAGGAGAUACUGCGUAUGCCCUUCAACGUUAAAGAUGCCUACUCUAGCUGGGGACUAUGGCGAGUUGGAAAAUCCAUCAAAAGUAUCUGGCAAAUGGUUUUUCUGGUGCAUUUGGUAAGAGAGGAACGAUAGAUGCUUCGAUAAGAUCUCGAUUCCUAACCACCCCUUAAAAGCUAGAUAUCAUUCAUAUUUUUUU
rnacentral:lncRNA from 1 species